UUUCUGUGAUAAAAUCACAUUUCAUAGUGACAGCAUUUCUGUUUUCAAUAUUUAUUGCAACUUUCUGAAAUGUGCGAAUCUCGAUUAUCGUAAAAAUUUGUGCUGAGCAAGCUUUAUUGUUUUAAAGUCCGGAAAUGAACGUUAUGACGUAAUAACUGCGUAACGUGGCACAAAAACCUGCGUUAUCGUAUAUUUACGUUAUCACAUAGAUAGAAUUUAUUUCUCGAAAACAGAUGAUGAUGACAUUCGUCUGCAAUCAGGUUAUUCUGGUAGCUCAUAGCGUCAUAGUUAAUUGCAUUUCGUGGCUAUUCAUAAUGAUCGUUUCCAUCAAUCGUAUAAUCAACCAUGAGAUACUAUGUUCCAUGUUGCUACAAUGACGAAGUUUCAGGUUGUCGCUGGUUGGAAUUCGGACGGCAACGCAAAUGAAGUUAGCAAACCAUACCCUAACUUCGCCCUGUAUAAACAGUCAUUGUAAUUAUGCGGAAAACAAUCAAUUGUUGUUUCAAUAAAUUAGCGUAAAUUAGCGAAUUAGAAA